GAUGAACGCUGGCGGCGUGCCUAAUACAUGCAAGUCGAGCGAACGGACGAGAAGCUUGCUUCUCUGAUGUUAGCGGAGGGCGGGUGAGUAACGCGUGUAUCACCUACUUAUAAGACUGGGAUCACUACGGGAAACCGGAGCUAAUACCGGAUAAGAUUUUGAACCGCAUGGUUCAUAAGUGAGAGACGGUCUUGCUGUCUCUUAUAGAUGGAUCCGCGCUGCAUUAGUUAGUUGGUAAGGUAAAGGCUUACCAAGGCGACGAUGCAUAGGCGACCUGAGAGGCUGAUCGGCCACACUGGAACUGAGACACGGUCCAGACUCCUACGGGAGGCAGCAGUAGGGAAUCUUCGGCAAUGGGCGAAAGCCUGACGGAGCAACGCCGCGUGAGUGAUGAAGGUCUUCGGAUCGUAAAACUCACUUAUUAGGGAAGAACAGAUUUGUAAUUAAAUGUAGAGAUCUUGACGGUACCGAAUAAAAAAGCACCGGCUAACUACGUG
rnacentral:rRNA from 1 species